rnacentral:rRNA from 1 species
CCUACGGGAGGCAGCAGUGGGGAAUAUUGCACAAUGGGCGAAAGCCUGAUGCAGCAACGCCGCGUGAAGGAAGACGGUCCUCGGAUCGUAAACUUCUAUCAACAGGGAAGAAAGAAAUGACGGUACCUAAAUAAGAAGCCCCGGCUAACUACGUGCCAGCAGCCGCGGUAAUACGUAGGGGGCAAGCGUUAUCCGGAAUUACUGGGUGUAAAGGGGGAGUAGGCGGCAAGGUAAGCGAUAUGUGAAAGCCUUAAGCUUAACUAAAGGAUUGCAUAACGAACUAUCUGGCUAGAGUACAGGAGAGGAAGGCGGAAUUCCUAGUGUAGCGGUGAAAUGCGUAGAUAUUAGGAAGAACACCAGUGGCGAAGGCGGCUUUCUGGACUGAAACUGACGCUGAGGCUCGAAAGCGUGGGGAGCGAACAGGAUUAGAUACCCCUGUAGUC